rnacentral:rRNA from 1 species
GCUCAAUGUAUUUUCAUAAAUAGCCGCAGUUUACUGUGCUAAGGUAGCAUAAUCACUAGCUUUCUAAUUAAAAGAUAGAAUGAAAGGUUAUAUACGAUAUAAACUGUUUCUAAACAAAAUAAAUAAUUUAAAAAAAAAGUAAAAAUUCUUUUAAUUUUAAGAAAGACGAUAAGACCCUAAUAAACUUUACAUUUAGCUGGGGCGGCGUAUAAAACAAACCUUAAUAUAUUUUAUUUAUAAACCUAAUAAAUUUAAUUUUAUUAAAGUUACUAUAGGGAUAACAGCGCUAUCUUUUUUUAAAGUCCAUAUAUAAAAAAAGCCUUACGACCUCGAUGUUGAAUUAAUUUUACUAAUUAGCGCAAAAGCCAAUUAAGUUAGUCUGUUCGACUACUGAAAAAUU